rnacentral:rRNA from 1 species
UAAGCGGAGGAAAAGAAACUAACAAGGAUUCCCCUAGUAACGGCGAGUGAAGCGGGAAGAGCUCAAAUUUGUAAUCUGGCGGCCUUUGGCCGUCCGAGUUGUAGUCUCGAGAAGCGUCUUCUGCGUCGGACCGUGUACAAGUCCCUUGGAACAGGGCGUCGUAGAGGGUGAGAAUCCCGUCUUUGACACGGACUGCCGGUGCUCUGUGAUGCGCUCUCAAAGAGUCGAGUUGUUUGGGAAUGCAGCUCAAAACGGGUGGUAAAUUCCAUCUAAAGCUAAAUAUUGGCGAAAGACCGAUAGCGAACAAGUACCGUGAGGGAAAGAUGAAAAGCACUUUGGAAAGAGAGUUAAACAGUACGUGAAAUUGCUGAAAGGGAAACGCUUGAAGUCAGUCGCGUCUCCCGGGAUUCAGCCGUGCCCCUGUCGGGGCGCGGUGUACUUCCUGGCUGUGACGGGCCAGCAUCGAUUUUGGCCGUCGGAGAAAGGCCUUGGGAAUGUGGCACCUUCGGGUGUGUUAUAGCCCUGGGUCGCAUGCGACGGUCGGGAUCGAGGACCGCAGCACGUUUCUCCUUCCUUCGCGGGAAAGGGGCUCGGGGUUCGCCCACGCAAACGUUGCUUAGGAUGCUUGGCGUAAUGGC